UACCCAUUAGGCAAAAUAGGUUUUAUCGUGUGUGUUCUUUGAUUCAAGCUCAAGAAGAGGUUCUUGAAGACUAUCAGUGGCGAUCAAAAAAGACUUUGAUUCUCAACAAGAUGGAAUCAUUCUUUCUGAGGUAAAGAAAGUUUACUUAACUGCUCACUUACUUAAUCAAACAACAUGAUAUAUGGAACCGUUCUUGUCCAAUCCCAGGGGUAAACAUCUGACUCUAUAAGCUCUUGAGUCUGUGGUUCUGGCCAAGUUCAAGUCUUUAUAACAUGAGCCGGUGUGGAAGAAGGAAAGGCCUCCAAGCUUAAAAGGAGACAACGAGCUUAGAGCGCACAGGAUUUACCCGUUUGGCCUCACGCAGAGACAAGCUUUGUACAAGUACUAAUAUUCAACACAACCCUUGUGCUAAAUUUGAGUUUGUCUUCGUGUAGUUUCAUUCCUAAACGCAUAACUGACAGAAACUGUACGCAGCUUUACGCAGUAAUGAAGACGAAUCCAUCAGAUUACUAAAAGCAAAGCUGAAAUUCCGUGUUGAAGAAGAAACAAAAGGAAAUUUAUGAGAAACGACGUCGUUGGGAGUGAUCUGUACGGUGUUUAUAAAUCACCAAAGCCCACAUCGGAAGAAACAAAAUUUUCCUUGCUGUAUAUAUAAGCUUAGCUCACACUAAGAGUACGUCGAGCUUAGUAACGUGGGCUUGUGAUCCUAGUGGAGACAAUAAGUUGAUGGAACUUUGGACCAGUUUCUAUGAAGCGUACCGGUCUCUUGACCCGGGUGUGUGCGGGGUUAUAUAUACUGAGCUCUUGCCCUCUUCUAAUACGAGUGUGCAUGCCAGUGUCUUCUUCGCGUACAACUUCAAUCUAGCUGGUUUCAUUGGACCAUCAUCUUUUAAAAAUGCUUUUGUAUCACCUGCAUGGUUCCGUAAUAUUCAAGAUACAUGUUCUAAGGGGUGGGCAACAAAACCAAACCGACCCAACCGAACUCAAACCUAUCCAAACCAAAGUAUACGUCUAAACCAUUUGGUUCAAAAUUUUAUCAACCCAAAUGGUUCAGUUUGGUUUGGUUUUAAACCGAACCAAAUCAAAAAACCGAAGUAUUUUUUAAUUAGAUUGAAUAUAUUAAUAAUAUUAAAAUUUAAUAUAUUUAACCAUUAACGUAAACAAGUAAACAUUAUUUUAUACAUUUUAUUUUUAAAUAAAUAGAAUAAAUACAACUAAAAAUAUGAAUCUUAUACAUUAACAUUAAAACCAAAAAUUACCUAUGAUAUUUAUACUAAGUUUGAAGAUAAUAAUAUAAUAUUAUUGAAUUAUAUAUUAUAUCUAUAUAUAUAAAAAAUUGUUGGUCUCUCUCCAGGGCAAGACACGUCAUCAAAUCGUUUCUUCAGAGUGCGACACGUGGCAAAAAAUCGAUCCGCUGCGUUUCAUUAAACGUAUGUAAUCGUGUGGGGCUUAUGUUAUAUAUGGGCUUUGUGUUAACUUAUUAUAGUACAGCCCGUUUAUUUAUCUCCACCUAAAUGAAACGACGUGUUUUCAUUUAGGGUUGGCCCCAUCUUCUUCUUCGCCUGUCCAGAGCUCACGAGGAUUUGGUUUUUGCAAGCGAUCUUUCACCUUCUUCCUCAUAGUGCAAAAGGAUAACAGUUACCGAAUCUAUUAAAACCCUCCAUUAAUCUAUCACCCACGAUCUGUAUUCAAUCCGAGUUCUUAUUUUGCAAGGCGGUGAAUGUUCAGCUAUAAAAAGACAGGCCUCUCCUGAUUUAUGAAAAGGAUGUCCUCCUCAUCUUCCCUUUUCUUUCUUCCCACCACCACUUCAAACAUUCAGAUUCAUCCAUAGCGCUUCACCAUACUUGCAGAGUUCGUCGAAGGUACAUAGAAUCUUAAUUUAAUACGACUGAGCUCCUUAGGUUCUGUAUAUGAACAACUCAUGGCACUGGAAAGCACUUGAAGAUUCCCAAAACAAAACUCUCUUUUCACUCUUGAUCCAUAACUGGUUAGAACUGUUGUCCAGCUUGCUCUCAGUUUCUCAUGUGUGUAAAUUUACAAAACAUAACUCUUUUUUAUUCUUAAUUAAUCUAAAAGAAAGAAAGGAAUCUUUGUGAUAUACAAUUGUGAUUGAUCUUUUGCAUGCUAAUUUAUUUGCAUUCAUAUAGAAUUGUUUAUGGAGAUAUGAAAACAGAGUACAUGCUUUUGAUUUUGGAGUGGCUAGAGUUGAAUCUCAUAAUCCAAAGGAUAGAUCUACCAAAGGAUAUGACUAGAGAAACUGGUACUCUCUGAUACACAGGCUACGGAGGUUCUUGAUGGUAAGCCAUACAAUAGAAGAUGUGAUGUUUGCAUCUUUGGGAUAUGUUUAAGGGAGAUUUAUUGUUGUGCUAUGCCUUUUCCUGAUCUCAGCUUUGCUGAUGUUUCUUCUGCCGUUGUUCGUCAGCUUGUUGCAAAGUCCUAAGUUCAAGAAACGACCUUGCAAGUGCAUCAGGGAGGAUCAGACACAGUUUAUCAUGUUUUUGUAAAAUAAAGAGGCCGGUUUGAGAUAUGUUGGAUGUGAUUCAAUAUUGAGAAUCUUUUGGAAGUGGACUGAAGAAUGCUCUUGACAAGAAGAAGUCACGAGACUACUAGCUAAAGUGGUGGAAACAUUCUGGGUGGAAAAGAAGGGUUCAAAAGAAAGGAGGUGUGAGGAGAGUCAGGUAAAACGACGUCACCGGCUUGGACUUCGUCUCACUCGUUAACAAAACCAGAAGAGAGAGAACGAGAGCCGUCGUCUAUGUCCAUGAGUUCUUGAGCAAUUAAAAAACAGAGAUUGAGAGGUUAGAGAGUAUAGAAGAUGUUCUUCUAAACCGAUUGAGCUGUAAUCGGUGGUGAGCGAAAGUCUUUGUACAACCACUCCGGAAGUGAUUUCCGUUUAUCUAUGGAACGUACUAACCGGAUGCACCCAUUAGUUAACACGGCCAACUGGGUUAUAUUAUAUCGUGUGUGUUCUUUGAUUCAAGCUCAAGAAGAGAGGUUCUUGAAAACUAUCAGUGGCAAUCAAAAGGGACUUUAAAAGGAGACAAGGAGCUUAGAGUACACAGGAUUUACCCGCUUGGCCUCACGUAGAGACAAGCUUUGUACAAGUUCAAAUUUGAGGGAAACUCCAGUUUAAGUACUCACAUUCAACACAAUCGUUGUGCUAAAUUCGAGGUUGUCUUCGUGUAGUUUCAUUUCAAACGCAUCUGACAGAAAUUACAAAGCAGGCAGUAAUGAGAACGAAUUCAUCAGGUAAUCAAAGAAAAAUAAAAAAAUUGCGUACUGGAGAAGAAACAAAACAUAUUUUAGGAGAAAGGACACCGUAGAGAGAGUUAUAAUGUGAGAAAAUGUUUUUAGCCACCAAAGCCCACAUCGGUAGAAAGAAAAAAAUUCCUUGUUGUAUAUAUAAGGUUUGCUCACAAGCCCACGUGGACUUGUGAUCCGAGUGGAGACGAUAAGCUGUACCAAUUUAUUUGGACCCCAUAGUAUGUGAGGGUAUAUAUUUUGAAUAGCCCGAUCCCAAAUUGGCUGCGCCAUUGUCUUCUUUCGCAUGAAGAAGAGGGAUCAAUCAAGCUGGUUUCAACUGGACCAUCAUCUUUUAAAAUUGAUUUUGUUAUGUUACCUGGGGGUGGGGGUGUCAAUUUGGACUGGUCCGGUUAGGUCUAAACCCGCUAAGCCCAUAAAUAUUUGAGUCCAGUCCGGUCCGGAUAUAUUUUAGACCUAAAAUUCGAAGUUCAGCCCAGUCUUUAUAGGACUCUAAGGCUUUUUGGGCUUUUUUGGGUUUUUCUAAAAAUAAUUUAUCAUUAUCAUUUCUAUUGUUUUAAUACAUAUAAAUUUUCAUUAAAAAAGACAUUUUAAAAUUUGUUUAUUUUAAAAUAUAAAGUGAAUUUAAACUUUUAUUCUUUGUCAAAAAUAUUUUACUUUUUAUAUGCUUUAUUAAUAUAUUAUAUAUAGAACAAGACUUUGGUGAACCUUUAAAUUUACAUGUCCACUUAUUACCAAUCAAAAUGCCACCUAAAUUAGUAAUAAAAUAGAUUAACUUUAUUUAAAAAAAUCUGAAAUAAUUGAAAAAAAUAAUAACACCAAUUUUAAUGAUACUAACGCCACUAACUAAACUCUAAACCCUAAACUCAAAUCCUAAACCCUAAACUCUAAACCUAAACUGUAAGCUCUAAACCCAAACCAUGUAUCCUAAACCCAAAUCCUAAACCCUAAACCCAAACUUUAAACCCUAAACUCAAACCCUAUAUCCUAAACCCAUAUCAUAGACUCUAAACUCAAACCAUAUAUCCAAACCUAAUCCCUACACCCUAAACUCAAAUCGUAAAUCCUGAACCCAAAUCCUAUAUCCUAAAGAUUUGGGUUAAUGUUGACGUUUUUUCUUUAGGGUUUAAGAUUUGGGUUUAGAGUCGAGGUUUGGAUUUAGAAUCUAGGGUUUGAGUUUAAGGUCUAGGGUUUGGGUUUAGAGUUUACGGUUUGGGUUUAGAGUUUAGGAUUUAGGUUUAAGAUAUAGGGUUUGGGUUUAGGGUUUAGAGUUUGGGUUUAGAAUUUAAGGUUUAGGGUUUAGAUUUAAAGUUUAUAGUUUAGAAUUUAAGAUUUAGGGUUUAGUUAGUGGCGUUAGCGUUAUUAAAAUGAGCGUCAUUAUAUUUUUCAAUUAUUUUAGAGUUGAAAAAAAAAAUAAUGUAUUUUAUUACUAAUCUAUAUGGCAUUUUGAUUGGUAAUAAACAGGGGAAUAGAAGUGUACUAUUUUUUCAUAUAGAUCAGAUACUGUCAGAUGGAAAUGUUCCUUAGAGAAACGUCUUUUCUGAUCAGAACUUAGUCUAGUAAUAUGGUUAACUGACAAAAAAAUACAAACUACAUUAUCCCUUAAUAUCAACAACUCUUUCGAUCAGCAUGGUCCUUUUCGAUGAUUCUUGGGAUUAUGUUAAGGCCGCCCUAAUAUAUAUUUAUUUUCUCUGCCGCUUCGCUGUUUCAUUUCACGAUAUAUAUAUGGUAGAGCCGAGGUGUUUCAUAUGGCUAGGUGUCUCUAGCUAGGUCUUAAUAUAAAUUUUAACAUCUCUCUUCUUCGACCAGCCAAUUAAACGAUCAUGAUAUCAGAUUCUAUUCCUAUUGAGCUCAGCCGCGUCUCUUAUUCGCCAUCGAAGAGCACGGUGUGUGGAGCAUAUUCUCUUUGCCUCAGCAUCUGAGUCCAUAGAGAAGCCUUCAUCGUCUCUAGUAGUAUCCCCCAAAUUUCAUAUGAAGUUCCCUCCAGAGGGUAUGCCUAUCUAUCAUCUUGAUGACCGACAAUUUGCAUAUGGCUAUGCCUCUGGUUUGAUCUAUUUCUAUGGUAUGUGGACCAAAAUGAUGGCUGAAGAUGGAGUUCCUGUGAUACGUAACCCAAAAACGGGACGGUAUGAGACCUUACCUUAUAUCUAUAGGUACAGAACAACCUAACUCUAAAAAGGUGUUAGCUAUGGUACUUUCAUCCCAUAUCGUCCAAGUAAUUUAUAUGCCAGUUCCACAAGAUGUGCUACGGGCAUCAUCACAACAGCAGGUAUCUUUAUACUUGGCCUGCAAAAUUAUAAUUAGUAUUUAUCUGAGACGAGGUAAAAAAAGGUUACCAAUAGUAUACUUCCAAAUGUGUUUUUAUAUGUACUUGUUAAUCUCUUUGGUAAGAGUUUUUUUUUAUAAUCUACCAAAAUAAAUUUCGGAGAAAACAAAGAUUCAAAUUAAGAAACCAACUUCUAUUAAGUUAUCAAUAUGCAUAAAAAAUAUAUGAACUGAGUUUUCAUGGGGAACAAAUGAAAUAUCUAACUAUGACUAACCAGGGGAAUAACAUUUUUGUAGCUUGUUUUAAAGAAAACGUACCUCUCAUAGCCAACUCCUUCUAGAAGCAGUGACAUAAACUCCCAAAACUUAAUUGGCUCCAUGAUGGUAAUGAAGUAUGCCUCCAAAGCCAUGUCAUCUCAAUUAAGUUACAUCAUAGCCGAGUCCUUUUUGUAGCUUUGUUGCAAAGUCCUAAGUUCUAGAAACGACCUUGCAAGUGCACUGUGCACCAGGGGAGGAUCAGACACAGUUUAUCAUGUUUUUGUAAGAGAAAGUUGCCGGUUUGGGAUGUGUUGGAUGUGAUUCAACAUUUAGAAUCUUUGUAAGUGGACUGAAGCAUGCAUUUGACAAGAAGAAGUCGCGAAACUACUAGCAAGUGGUGGAAACAUUCCGGCUGGGAAAGAAGGUUUGAAAGAAAGGAGGUUUAAUAUACUCAGAUGAGUCACGUGAGGAGAGUUAAGUAAAACGACGUCACCGGCUUGGACUUCGUCUCUCUCGUUACCAAAACCAGAAGAGAUGUACUCAUUAGUUUUUUUUUUUUUUUUUUUUUUUUUUUUGCUAAGAAUAUGAAUUUCAUUACUUGAAUGAGCUGGUUGUGUGUUACAAAGUGUUAAGGCUGACAGGCAAUCACAAUGGCAAAAAAGUUAAAAACAUUGUGAGAACCCGAUUGAAAAACAGAGAACUGAUAAAACAGAAAAAAAUCAGACGGCUACUCAGUAGCAAGCCACAGCUGCAUGAGGCCCUUGAAAGCUUUCCUGUUUCUUCGAGCAAGGAUGAUAUCCUUGAGUUGUCUAUCCAGUUUUUUAAACAAGGCCGCCGGUGAAGAGGAGACGUUGUUGUGAAGUCUGCUGUUGCGCUCUGUCCAAAUGGUGUAGAUGGUUGCUUGACAGGCUAAGCGACGAAGGGUUUGGGGAGUGACCGAGUCCCUAUCUCCCAUCCAGGUAACAAACGCCAACCAAGUGUGAAAGAAGAAUCUCCCAUACCCUAGGCGCCUCAAGACUAAGGUCCAUAGGUGCUCGCUAACUUCACACCUAAGGAAAAGAUGAUCUCGGUCUUCCAGUGCUUCAUCGCAGAGGCAACAUGAUU